UACGGAGGGUGCAAACGUUGCUCGGAAUUAUUGGGCGUAAAGCGCACGUAGGCGGACCAUCAAGUCGGAUGUGAAAUCCCUCGGCUUAACCGAGGACGUGCAUUCGAAACUGGCAGUCUUGAGUAUGGAAGAGGGUCGCGGAAUUCCCGGUGUAGAGGUGAAAUUCGUAGAUAUCGGGAGGAACACCAGUGGCGAAGGCGGCGACCUGGGCCAAUACUGACGCUGAGGUGCGAAAGCGUGGGGAGCAAACAGG
rnacentral:rRNA from 1 species